UACGGAGGAUGCGAGCGUUAUCCGGAUUUAUUGGGUUUAAAGGGUGCGUAGGCGGGCUUUUAAGUCAGCGGUAAAAAUUCGGGGCUCAACCCCGUCCGGCCGUUGAAACUGGGGGCCUUGAGUGGGCGAGAAGAGGGCGGAAUGCGUGGUGUAGCGGUGAAAUGCAUAGAUAUCACGCAGAACCCCGAUUGCGUAGGCAGCCUUCCGGCGCCCUACUGACGCUGAGGCACGAAAGUGCGGGGAUCGAACAGG
rnacentral:rRNA from 1 species